rnacentral:rRNA from 1 species
CUCCUACGGGAGGCAGCAGUGAGGAAUAUUGGUCAAUGGACGAGAGUCUGAACCAGCCAAGUAGCGUGCAGGAGGACGGCCCUAUGGGUUGUAAACUGCUUUAGUAUGGGAAUAAAGUCAUCCACGUGUGGAUGUUUGCAUGUACCAUAAGAAUAAGGACCGGCUAAUUCCGUGCCAGCAGCCGCGGUAAUACGGAAGGUCCGGGCGUUAUCCGGAUUUAUUGGGUUUAAAGGGAGCGUAGGCGGAUUUUUAAGUCAGUUGUGAAAGUUCACGGCCCAACCGUGAAAUUGCAGUUGAAACUGAAAGUCUUGAGUGCACGCAGGGAUGCUGGAAUUCGUGGUGUAGCGGUGAAAUGCUUAGAUAUCACGAAGAACUCCGAUCGCGAAGGCAUGUGUCCGGAGUACAACUGACGCUGAGGCUCGAAAGUGUGGGUAUCAAACAGGAUUAGAUACCCUGGUAGUCCACACAGUAAACGAUGAAUACUCGCAGUUGGCGAUAUACGGUCAGCUGCCAAGUGAAAACAAUAAGAUU